ACUUAAAUUGAAGAGUUUGAUCAUGGCUCAGAUUGAACGCUGGCGGCAGGCCUAACACAUGCAAGUCGAGCGGUAGCACAGAGAGCUUGCUCUCGGGUGACGAGCGGCGGACGGGUGAGUAAUGUCUGGGAAACUGCCUGAUGGAGGGGGAUAACUACUGGAAACGGUAGCUAAUACCGCAUAACGUCGCAAGACCAAAGUGGGGGACCUUCGGGCCUCAUGCCAUCAGAUGUGCCCAGAUGGGAUUAGCUAGUAGGUGGGGUAACGGCUCACCUAGGCGACGAUCCCUAGCUGGUCUGAGAGGAUGACCAGCCACACUGGAACUGAGACACGGUC
rnacentral:rRNA from 1 species